AACUCUUAUUGGCUGUGAAGUGCCACGUUGUCACGCCAGACGGACCGCUGCUCAACGCGAAAGCAAACGAGGGGAGCCCGAGUCCCGCCGAGGAGGUCUGACAGGGACCCGCACACACACGUCUUCAUUCUUAGCACUUUACCUGACAUGGAGAGCCAGACAGCUAGGGAGGUAGAAAGGCAGGUAGACAGCUAAGGAGGUAGAAAGGCCGGUAGACAGCUAGCGAAGCAGACAGACAAGAAGACAGCUAGGGAGGUAGAAAGGCCGGUAGACAGCUAGCGAAGCAGACAGACAAGAAGACAGCUAGGGAGGUAGAAAGGCAGGUAGACAGCUAGGGAGGCAGACAGACACAAAGACGGCUAGGGAGGCAGACAGACAAGAAGACAGCUAGGGAGGGAGAAAGGCAGGUAGACAGCUAGGGAGGCAGACAGACACAAAGACAGCUAUGGAGGUAGACAGAGAAGAAGACAGCUGCUAGGGAGGUAGACAGACAAGAAGACAGCUGCUGGGGAGGUAGACAGACAAGAAGACAGCUGCUGGGGAGGUAGACAGACAAGAAGACAGCUGCUGGGGAGGUAGACAGACAAGAAGACAGCUGCUGGGGAGGUAGACAGACAAGGAGACAGCUGCUGGGGAGGUAGACAGACAAGGAGACAGCUGCUGGGGAGGUAGACAGACAAGAAGACAGCUCGGGAGGUAGACAGACAAGAAGACAGCUAGGGAGGUAGACAGACAAUAAGACAGCUCGGGAGGUAGACAGACAAUAAGACAGCUAGGGAGGUAGAAAGACAGGUAGACAGCUAGCAAAGCAGACAGACAAGAAGACAGCUAGUGAGGCAGACAGACAAGAAGACAGCUAGGGAGGCAGACAGACCACAAGACCGCUAGGGAGGCAGACA